UGCAACCGAAGCACCCCUGGUGUUCGUGGGAAAGGGCAUCACCUUUGACAGUGGGGGUAUCUCCAUCAAGGCUUCUGCAAAUAUGGACCUCAUGAGAGCUGAUAUGGGAGGAGCAGCAACAAUAUGCUCGGCCAUUGUGUCUGCGGCAAAGCUCAAUUUGCCCAUUGGUUUGGCCCCUCUUUGUGAAAAUAUGCCUAGCGGCAAGGCCAACAAGCCAGGGGAUGUCGUCAGAGCCAGGAAUGGGAAGACCAUCCAGGUUGAUAACACUGACGCCGAGGGGAGGCUCAUUCUGGCUGAUGCACUCUGUUAUGCGCACACCUUUAAUCCCAAGGUCAUCAUCAAUGCUGCCACCUUAACAGGUGCCAUGGACGUAGCCCUGGGGUCAGGUGCCACUGGAGUCUUUACCAAUUCGUCCUGGCUGUGGAACAAACUAUUUGAGGCCAGCAUAGAAACUGGGGACCGAGUCUGGAGGAUGCCCCUCUUUGAGCAUUAUACAAGACAAGUCAUAGAUUGCCAGCUUGCUGAUGUCAACAAUCUUGGAAAAUACAGAUCUGCAGGUGCGUGUACAGCUGCCGCAUUCCUGCGAGAGUUUGUGACACACACGAAGUGGGCACACUUAGACAUAGCAGGAGUGAUGACCAACAAAGAUGAGAUUCCCUACCUGCGGAAGGGGAUGAGUGGGCGGCCCACGAGGACUCUGAUUGAGUUCCUACUUCGCUUCAGUAAAGAGAGUUCUUAGUUCACUCACAAAUUGCUCCAUCUGUCUUGAAUUGGAUAUUUGACCUUCAAAAUAUUUUUGAAUGAAUGAAAAUCUUUUAAAGACUAAAAUGAAUGUUGUUCUUUUUUUUAAUCUUAAUUUUUGGAAUAUUUUAAUAUGCUUGAAUCAUGGAAAUCUAAAUGAUAUAUGACUUAAUAUAGGCCCUUUAAACUAUUAAAACAUCUUGUAAUAAUA